UUUUUUGAAGGUGGGGCCUGAGAACGGCUACCACAUCCAAGGAAGGCAGCAGGCGCGCAAAUUACCCACUCCCGGCACGGGGAGGUAGUGACGAAAAAUAACGAUACGGGACUCAUCCGAGGCCCCGUAAUCGGAAUGAGUACACUCUAAAGACUUUAACGAGUAUCCAUUGGAGGGCAAGUCUGGUGCCAGCAGCCGCGGUAAUUCCAGCUCCAAUAGCGUAUAUUAAAGCUGUUGCGGUUAAAAAGCUCGUAGUCGGACUUGUGUCCCACGCUGCCGGUUCACCGCCCGUCGGUGUUUAACUGGCACGCACGUGCGGACGUCCUGCCGGUGGCCCGAGCCGGCGCUCGCGGGUGAGGGGGCGGUAACGUCCUCAAACCCCGGGUCGUUUCGGGGAGGGCCUACACAAUCCCGUCGCGGUGCUCUUGACCGAGUGUCUCGAUGGGCCGGCACGUUUACUUUGAACAAAUUAGAGUGCUUAAAGCAGGCAGCAGCCGCCUGAAUACCGAGUGCAUGGAAUAAUGGAAUAGGACCUCGGUUCUAUUUUGUUGGUUUUCGGAAUCCCCGAGGUAAUGAUCAAAAGGGACAGACGGUGGGCAUUCGUAUUGCGACGUAGGAUAAUAGUUACCACCCAC
rnacentral:rRNA from 1 species